GACGAACGCUGGCGGCGUGCCUAAUACAUGCAAGUAGAACGCUGAAGGAGGAGCUUGCUUCUCUGGAUGAGUUGCGAACGGGUGAGUAACGCGUAGGUAACCUGCCUGGUAGCGGGGGAUAACUAUUGGAAACGAUAGCUAAUACCGCAUAAUAGUAGAUGUUGCAUGACAUUUGCUUAAAAGGUGCAAUUGCAUCACUACCAGAUGGACCUGCGUUGUAUUAGCUAGUUGGUGGGGUAACGGCUCACCAAGGCGACGAUACAUAGCCGACCUGAGAGGGUGAUCGGCCACACUGGGACUGAGACACGGCCCAGACUCCUACGGGAGGCAGCAGUAGGGAAUCUUCGGCAAUGGACGGAAGUCUGACCGAGCAACGCCGCGUGAGUGAAGAAGGUUGUCGGAUCGUAAAGCUCUGUUGUAAGAGAAGAACGAGCGUGAGAGUGGAAAGUUCACACUGUGACGGUAUCUGACCAGAAAGGGUCGGCUAACUACGUG
rnacentral:rRNA from 1 species